rnacentral:rRNA from 1 species
CCUACGGGUGGCAGCAGUAGGGAAUCUUCCACAAUGGGCGAAAGCCUGAUGGAGCAACGCCGCGUGGGUGAAGAAGGUCUUCGGAUCGUAAAACCCUGUUGUUAGAGAAGAAAGUGCGGGAGAGUAACUGUUCACGUUUCGACGGUAUCUAACCAGAAAGCCCCGGCUAACUACGUGCGAGCAGCCGCGGUAAUACGUCGGUGGCAAGCGUUAUCCGGCUUUAUUGGGCGUAAAGGGAACGCAGGCGGUCUAGUAAGUCUGAUGUGAAAGCCUUCGGCUUAACCAGAGUAGUGCAUUUGAAACUGGGAGACUUGAGUGCAGAAGAGGAGAGUGGAACUCCAGGUGUAGCGGUGAAAUGCGUAGAGAUAUGGAAGAACACCAGUGGCGAAAGCGGCUUGCUGGACUGUAACUGACGCUGAGGUUCGAAAGCGUGGGUAGCAAACAGGAUUAGAUACCCUUGUAGUC